CUAGGAAGAAGGAUGAUUAGGCUGAGAGAAAUCGAAGUCAGGAAAGUCCAGACAGCAUAGAGUAGGGUGCCCUGCGUAAGCAGGGGGUCGUAAGAUCCAGUUAGAGCAACAGUGACGAAUCCCGAUGAAAAUCGGGGGUGAAACGGGCAAUCCUCCCCGCUGCAAUCCUAGAAUCAACAGGACUACUCGUCCAACCUUGAUUUAAUCAAGGUAUGUUGAAAUCAGGAGCAUUAGAUAAAUUAUCAUCUCGAAACAGAAUCUGGCUUAUUAGCUUCCUAGGCAC
rnacentral:RNase_P_RNA from 1 species